rfam:Cajanus cajan CcLG11_54, whole genome shotgun sequence.
GCCGAGCUAAGUAACGCUAGCUUGUAACUCGAGUGGGGGCAUCAGGGUGAUGGGACAUGGCUCGGGUAUGCUCGGUUGGGCUUGGUUGUGGCUCAGUGCUGGCUUGCCCGCUCCAAGUUAAGAGUUGAGUUACGGAACUUGGACGAAGGCGCAGGUUUCGUUGCUCCUAAACCGGAGGGCAUAGCGUGAGGCUGGCUUAACAGAGCAGCGAACACUUCCGGCUCCUGACAGUGGAGGGAUUACAAGCCGCUGCCCUUCUAGUCCAUUAUGCCGGGUUUGCCAAGCUCCUUGAACCAUCAUCUUU